rfam:Bacteroidetes bacterium GWF2_42_66 gwf2_scaffold_46, whole genome shotgun sequence.
AAGAGCCGUGUGAAGCGAGAGUUUCAAGCACGGUUCCGUGAGAACAUGAGGGUGAAAUUCCCUUGCGUGACUCGAU